rnacentral:lncRNA from 1 species
UUCAGUCUUCCUCCCCAAAGUGCUUCGAUUCCUUCUCCAGUUCGUCGCCUCCAGUCCUCCUCCUCUAAACUCUAGCAGAGCUCGGCUUCUCCACUUCAAGUCUCAGAGAUCAAGAGUUCAAGACAUCAAUUUCGUUUAAUUGAAUGUUGUAUUGGAUUGAUGAUUUCAUGGAUUGAAGAAUGAAGGUUGUCUCUUGGUCUGGAAAUCUGGUCAGUGCCUCAGUGGGUUUACUUAAAAUUGUGCAAUUGAGUUUCUGCAGCAAAUAUGGCAUUCUGCUGUGCAAAUGUGCAAUUGAGUGAUUUGAGUCUACUGCUUUCUGAGGUGUUAGAGUAAAAUGUCAAAUCAUGAGCCAAAAGCGAAGCGAUCAAAAUUCAUUGACUCAUGGUUUAAAAGAACAAAUGUUGAGUCUUCAAGUUCAAAUGGCGUAUUGCUUCCCUUGUUUUCUAUUUGACACUGAAGAUUCUCAGCAUACAGCAUUCACCGUUGAUGGGUUUAAGGCUUGGAAGAGGGUUUGUGGUAGUGAUAAUGUGUUGAUGAAGCAUGUAGGAGGCCUUAAUUCUCCCCAUCAUGCUGCAAUGCAAAAAUGGGAUUUAUUAAGAA